CUCUUGCACAUGGGGAGGUGCAUGAGUGUGACCUCUUGUACAAGCAGUGGUGCAGAAAGAUCCCUCCUCUUUGUGCAAGGGUCCGUUGCACAUGGGGAGGUGCAUAAGUGGACGUUCUUGCACAAGGGCUGGUGCACCAGUCUGUUGUGCAAGGUGCACAAACGGACCUCUUCUUGCACCAGGCUGUUGCACGAGAGGUGGUGCGUGGAUCUGUCGCACAAGCAACCUCUUCUUGCACAAGGGGUAGCGCUCAAGUGUGGUGUGCAACAGGACACCUCUUGCACAAGCCUUUCACACAAGGGGGCGCUUCCUGUACAAGCGAUCGUGCACCAGUUUGUUGCACAAGCAGUGGUGCACUAGUGCGACCUGUCGCACCAGGAGCGUGUGGGUGUUGCACUGUUCAGGUGCACAAAGCCCUGUGUUGCACAAUGAGGGUGCACAACACCCAGCAUUGCACUAUUGCCUUGCACAUGACCCCGUGUGGCACUUUGGUGUUGCACAAGGCCCUGUGUGACACAAUACUGUUGCACGAGGCCCUGUGUUGCACAACGAGGCCGCACAAGGCCCAGCCUUGCACCUCUGCCUUGCACAAGGCCUAGUGUUGCACCACAGUAUUGCACAACCUCAUGUGGAAUCCUCGUGUUGCACAAGGCCCCGUGUGGCGCUGUAGUGUUGCACAAGCCCCUGUGUUGCACCGCAACAGUGCACACAACCCGAGGUCUCACCCUCGUGUUGCACAAGGCGCUGUGUGGAGUUUUAGUGUUGCACAAGGCCCUGUGUUGCACCACACCGUUGCACACGACCCUAUGUUCCACUCUUGUGUUGCACAAUGAGGGUGCACAAGACCCACAGUUGCCCCACUGCCUUGCACAAGGCCCCGUGUGGCACUUUAGUGUUGCACAAGGCCCCGUGUCACACGAGGGUUCACAAGACCCAGCACUGCACAAGGGGGCACCUCUUGCACAAGGCGGGUGCAAAACUGUGCAAAGGACACAAAAGGACCUCUUCUUGCACGAGUUUGUUGCACUUGAGGCCAGCUCUUGCACAACCAGUGUUGCACUGUUGCACAAGAGGUGGUGCGUGGCUCUGUUGCACAAGGAACCUCUUCUCGCACAAGGGGUGGCGCACAAGCCUGGUGUGCAGGCACCUCUUGCACAAGCCUUUUGCACAACCACGCGUUUCACCCUUGUGUUGCACAAGGCCCCGUGUGACACGAGGGUCCACAAGACCCAGCACAAGACUGCACCACUGCCUUGCACGAGACCAUUUGUUUCACUUCAGUGUUGCACAAGGCCCCGUGUUGCACAACAAAGGUGAGCACAGCCCACUGUUGCACCAC
rnacentral:lncRNA from 1 species